rnacentral:lncRNA from 1 species
CUAUACUUAAAACAUAGUGGAUCAUCAUAUAUCUUUCAACUUUCUUAUUAAUCUUUUCCACAGGAUAAUAUGGAUGACCUCAUUAUACAUAUUCACUAUAUUUCUAGUUUUUCGAUCAUAUCAUUUUUUACUUGGAAUGUAAAUUAGAACACUAAAUUUAUGAAGUCUAUUUUCAAAUUGGCAUGUAUACUUAUAUUGGCUUAUUAUUCUGUUUUGUCUAAGAAUUCUCCUAAUUAUUGGAUGUAUGCCAUAAAUUUAUUUCACAUCUUGGAAAAUUGUUCCUUUUGACAUCCCAACUAAGCCAUCGGAAGAAGUAAAGGAUGAAUUUCUAUAGGCCAUCACCCCUAUUCCUUAUCCCAGUCCUUUUUUUUGCGAGAGAAGCACAUACCUUGUCCAUGAUAUACAUCUGUAUUAUCUAGAUGAUGUUUCUGCCAUAAGUUUAUCUAGAGAACAUCUCUCUUUUUGAGUACUAUCACAUGGCUUUGUUUUAUAUAGUAUAAGCACUCCCGCAUUGUGCGCUUCUUCCUCGGACAUAUUAUAAAUACAAAAGCUACACCUUGUGUACAAACAUCUGAAAUCAGUUGGUUUAUGAUGCACUCGUGCGGUUUAGCAAUUUUGGAUUUCUAAAAUAGAAUGUAUGAUUUGUUUCCUGAAUAUAUUUGUGACAUAGAUUUAGAAAUUUAUCUAUACUAAUUUCUUUAUACUUUCAUAAACCACUGUGUGUAUGUCAGGUGCAAAUUUGGUAAUAUAUAGUUAAGUGUAUUUUACUAACGGGGUUAGUAUAGUAUAUGUAACUUGCAUCAAGUGUCCGAACUUCUGAAAUCAGUUUGCUUUUUAUGCACUCGCAUGGUUUAGAAAUUUUAGAUUAUUUAUAAGAAUCUGACGCUCUCAUGUUGUUUUGCGUUUUUGAAUAUAUUUUUUAUAUAAUCUAGGAUUUAUUUAUUAAGUAUAUUUGUAAUAUAUAUUUAGAACUUUUCUAUAGUAAUUAUUUAUAUUUUCAGAUAACAACUAUAUGCAUCUCAUGUUGAAAUUUAAGAAUAUAAACUUAAGUGUGAUUUAUGGAUGGAAUUAGUAUUGUACAUGCAUAUUAGCCUUGUGCUUGUGUGUGCAUAGUGAUUUCUAAAUGAGACAAAUUAGCUCACGUACCUAGAUUUAUGCACAAUACAUUGAAGUAUUGUAUGCAGAUUUUUAGGGAUGAGAUCAUAAUUUAUCCAUGAUAUACGUAUAUAUGUUUAAUAGAACUAUGUACGUAUAGUUGUGUUAAUUUCAUCUGCACAUUUCUAGAAAAAAACAUUAACUUGGUAGCUCAU